GGCUCAGUACAGGUGUAAUGUAUUACUAUGGUAUAAUGGGACUCACCAGGCUGGGAGGCUCAGUACAGGUGUAAUGUAUUACUAUGGUAUAAUGGGACUCACCAGGCUGGGAGGCUCAGUACAGGUGUAAUGUAUUACUAUGGUAUAAUGGGACUCACCAGGCUGGGAGGCUCAGUACAGGUGUAAUGUAUUACUAUGGUAUAAUGGGACUCACCAGGCUGGGAGGCUCAGUACAGGUGUAAUGUAUUACUAUGGUAUAAUGGGACUCACCAGGCUGGGAGGCUCAGUACAGGUGUAAUGUAUUACUAUGGUAUAAUGGGACUCACCAGGCUGGGAGGCUCAGUACAGGUGUAAUGUAUUACUAUGGUAUAAUGGGACUCACCAGGCUGGGAGGCUCAGUACAGGUGUAAUGUAUUACUAUGGUAUAAUGGGACUCACCAGGCUGGGAGGCUCAGUACAGGUGUAAUGUAUUACUAUGGUAUAAUGGGACUCACCAGGCUGGGAGGCUCAGUACAGGUGUAAUGUAUUACUAUGGUAUAAUGGGACUCACCAGGCUGGGAGGCUCAGUACAGGUGUAAUGUAUUACUAUGGUAUAAUGGGACUCACCAGGCUGGGAGGCUCAGUACAGGUGUAAUGUAUUACUAUGGUAUAAUGGGACUCACCAGGCUGGGAGGCUCAGUACAGGUGUAAUGUAUUACUAUGGUAUAAUGGGACUCACCAGGCUGGGAGGCUCAGUACAGGUGUAAUGUAUUACUAUGGUAUAAUGGGACUCACCAGGCUGGGAGGCUCAGUACAGGUGUAAUGUAUUACUAUGGUAUAAUGGGACUCACCAGGCUGGGAGGCUCAGUACAGGUGUAAUGUAUUACUAUGGUAUAAUGGGACUCACCAGGCUGGGAGGCUCAGUACAGGUGUAAUGUAUUACUAUGGUAUAAUGGGACUCACCAGGCUGGGAGGCUCAGUACAGGUGUAAU